rnacentral:rRNA from 1 species
AGAGUUUGCUUUUGGCUCAGGAUGAACGCUGGCGGCGUGCCUAAUACAUGCAAGUCGAACGAAUCUUCUUCGGAAGAUGAGUUGCGAACGGGUGAGUAAUACAUAGGUAACCUGCCCCUGUGCGGGGGAUAACAGGAGGAAACUCCUGCUAAUACCGCAUAGCCAUGAGCACCGCAUGGAGCUCAUGCCAAAUAUCCUUUACGGGAUAGCGCAGGGAUGGACCUAUGGCGCAUUAGCUAGUUGGCGGGGCAACGGCCCACCAAGGCAACGAUGCGUAGCCGGCCUGAGAGGGCGGACGGCCACAUUGGGACUGAGACACGGCCCAGACUCCUACGGGAGGCAGCAGUAGGGAAUUUUCGGCAAUGGGGGAAACCCUGACCGAGCAACGCCGCGUGAGCGAAGAAGGCCUUCGGGUCGUAAAGCUCUGUUGUAAAGGAAGAACGUCGCAUGCAGGAAAUGGUGUGCGAGUGACGGUACUUUACCAGAAAGCCACGGCUAACUACGUGCCAGCAGCCGCGGUAAUACGUAGGUGGCGAGCGUUAUCCGGAAUCAUUGGGCGUAAAGAGGGAGCAGGCGGCCGCAAGGGUCUGUGGUGAAAGACCGAAGCUAAACUUCGGUAAGCCAUGGAAACCGGGCGGCUAGAGUGCGGAAGAGGAUCGUGGAAUUCCAUGUGUAGCGGUGAAAUGCGUAGAUAUAUGGAGGAACACCAGUGGCGAAGGCGACGGUCUGGGCCGCAACUGACGCUCAUUCCCGAAAGCGUGGGGAGCAAAUAGGAUUAGAUACCCUAGUAGUCCACGCCGUA